UGGGGAAUAUUGGACAAUGGGCGAAAGCCUGAUCCAGCCAUGCCGCGUGUGUGAAGAAGGUCUUCGGAUUGUACAGCACUUUAAGUUGGGAGGAAGGGCAGUAAGCGAAUACCUUGCUGUUUUGACGUUACCGACAGAAUAAGCAACGGCUAACUCUGUGCCAGCAGCCGCGGUAAUCCAGAGGGUGCAAGCGUUAAUCGGAAUUACUGGGCGUAAAGCGCGCGUAGGUGGUUCGUUAAGUUGAAUGUGAAAGACCCGGGCGCAAACUGGGAACUGCGUCCAAUACUGGCCUGCUAGAGUAGGGCAGAGGGUGGUGGAAUUUCCUGGGGAGCGGUGAAAUGCGUAGAUAUAAGAAGGAACACCAGUGGCGAAGGCGACCACCUGGGCUCAUACUGACACUGAGGUGCGAAAGCGUGGGGAGCAAACAGG
rnacentral:rRNA from 1 species